AACGAACGCUGGCGGCAUGCCUAACACAUGCAAGUCGAACGAGACCUUCGGGUCUAGUGGCGCACGGGUGCGUAACGCGUGGGAACCUGCCCUUAGGUUCGGAAUAACUCCCCGAAAGGGGUGCUAAUACCGGAUAAUGUCUUCGGACCAAAGAUUUAUCGCCUUUGGUUGGGCCCGCGUUGGAUUAGCUAGUUGGUAGGGUAAAAGCCUACCAAGGCGACGAUCCAUAGCUGGUCUGAGAGGAUGAUCAGCCACACUGGGACUGAGACACGGCCCAGACUCCUACGGGAGGCAGCAGUGGGGAAUAUUGGACAAUGGGCGAAAGCCUGAUCCAGCAAUGCCGCGUGAGUGAUGAAGGCCUUAGGGUUGUAAAGCUCUUUUACCCGGGAUGAUAAUGACGGUACCGGGAGAAUAAGCUCCGGCUAACUCCGUG
rnacentral:rRNA from 1 species